AAGUCGAGCGAUGAGGCUCCCUUCGGGGAGUACAUCAGCGGCAGACGGGUGAGUAACACGUAGGUAACCUGCCCUCAAGACGGGGAUAACGCCUGGAAACGGGCGCUAAUACCGGAUGACCUUAGUUGGGGAAGAUCCGAUUAAGGAAAGGCUAUGGCGCUUGAGGAGGGGCCUGCGGCCCAUCAGUUAGUUGGUAGGGUAACGGCCUACCAAGGCGAAGACGGGUAGGGGGUGUGAGAGCACGGCCCCCCACACUGGGACUGAGACACGGCCCAGACUCCUACGGGAGGCAGCAGCGGGGAAUAUUGCGCAAUGGACGGAAGUCAGACGCAGCGACGCCGCGUGGGUGAAGAAGGCCUUCGGGUGGUACAGCCCUUGGGUGAAGGAAGAGAAAGGACGGUACCUUAGGAAUAAGCGUCGGCUAACUACGUGCCAGCAGACGCGGUAAGACGUAGGACGCGAGCGUUAUCCGGAUUUACUGGGCGUAAAAGCGUGUGUAGGCGGCGUGACAAGUUGGGCAUGAAAGCCCCGUUGCUCAACGCGGGGAGGCCGCACAAUACGGUCAGGCUAGAGAGCACCGGAGGGGGUGUGGAAUUCCCGGAGUAGCGGUAGAAUGCGCAGAUAUCGGGAGGAACACCGGGUGACGAAACAGCCACCCUGGGGUGCGCCUGACGCUGAGAGACGACAGCAAGGGGAGCGAACAGGAUUAGAGACCCUGGGUAGUCCUAGCCGUAAACGAUGGAUGCUAGGUGUAGG
rnacentral:rRNA from 1 species